rnacentral:rRNA from 1 species
UACGUAGGGGGCAAGCGUUGUCCGGAUUUAUUGGGCGUAAAGCGCUCGCAGGUGGUCCGUUGCGUCGUGCGUGAAAGACCCCGGCUCAACUGGGGGGUGUCGUGCGAUACGGGCGGACUGGAGGCCAGUAGGGGGAUGCGGAAUUCCGGGUGUAGUGGUGGAAUGCGUAGAGAUCCGGAGGAACACCAGCGGCGAAGGCGGCAUCCUGGACUGGUCCUGACACUCAGGAGC